UUGGAUAUUUUUUUUAAUUUCACAAUUUUUCCAAAAAGCAAUCCAAAAUAAAAACAAUCUGACCUACUCUUAUAUUUCUAUUUCUAUUUUAUGUCAAUAACUCAGGAGAAGAGGAUGGAGGAGAUCAGAGGGACGAUCAUGAGGACGAAGCUCAGUGUGAAGGCCUCAGCACCGUUACACAGAUUCCCUUCACAACACUGCACACUCGUUGACCCGAUUCCUGGAACGUUCGUUGAUCCCGAACCAGAACAGAAGCCACGGGA